rnacentral:rRNA from 1 species
AUUGAACGCUGGCGGCAGGCCUAACACAUGCAAGUCGAACGAGUGGCAGACGGGUGAGUAAUGUCUGGGAACCUGCCAGAUGGAGGGGGAUAGCUGCUGGAAAUUGUAGAUAAUACCGCAUACCCUCAGAUGUGCCCCAAUGGGAUUAUCUUGUUGGUGGGGUAACGGCUCACCAAGGCGACGAUCCCUAGCUGGUCUGAGAGGAUGACCAGCCACCAUGGACCUGAGACACGGUACAGACUCUGACGGGAGGCAGGGGAGGGGAAUAUUGGAAAAUGGGCGAAAGCCGGAUGCAGCCAUGCGGGGUAGAUGGAGAAGGCCUACGGGUUGUAAAGUAGUUUCAGCGGGGAGGCGUUACCCGCAGAAGAAGCGCUGGCUAACUCCGUGCCAGCAGCCGCGGUAAUAC